CCUACGGGAGGCAGCAGUGAGGAAUAUUGCACAAUGGGGGAAACCCUGAUGCAGCGACGCCGCGUGAGUGAGGACGUAUUUCGGUAUGUAAAGCUCUAUCAGCCGGGAAGAAAAUGACGGUACCUGACUAAGAAGCCCCGGCUAACUACGUGCCAGCAGCCGCGGUAAUACGGGGGGGGCCAGCGUUAUCCGGAUUUACUGGGUGUAAAGGGAGCGUAGACGGUUAAUCAAGUCAGAAGUGAAAACCCAGGGCUCAACCUUGGGACUGCUUUUGAAACUGAGUAGCUAGAGUGCAGGAGAGGUAAGCGGAAUGCCUGGUGUAGCGGUGAAAUGCGUAGAUAUUAGGAAGAACACCAGUGGCGAAGGCAGCUUACUGGAGUGUAACUGACGUUGAGGCACGAAAGCGUGGGGAGCGAACAGGAUUAGAUACCCCGGUAGUC
rnacentral:rRNA from 1 species